CUAUAUAAAAGAGACUUCAGAUACAGUAUUAGAGGACCACUACGGUCUAUAUAAAAGCAUCCAAAGAGCACCAUGUCAUGGGACCUUUAAAAGAAGUUGUCUCUGCGCGUGUUGUCACAGCGGGCGUUUCCCUCUCCUCAGCAGAAAGCUUCGGCCUCUAAAAGACUGUCGGGGACCGGGACUCGCUGCGCGGGGGUUUUUACGUCAUCAUUCUGUAAUGUUAAACUGUCGAUAUGUCCAAAAAGAAACCGCGUCCGGUCUGAAGUGAGUUGGUUGAAUGCAGUGUACGGAAACACUUUCUAUGCCGCCAAGUUGUAACGCAUCUUAUGAGUUAUAGGGUCACGUAAUCAAAAUGGUCACUGAUGGCGUUCUUGUAAUGAUCAUAGUGUGUUAGGAUUGUCAUUAGGGCUGGGUUUAAAAAAUAUAUUUUCUGAUUCAAAUCGAUCUUCAUUUGAAUGAUUAGGAUCGGGGCGUCGAGAACCGGUUGGAAUCGUUGUCAUUUGGGAUAAAUUUUGGUUUUGAAUCCGCUCAUCGGUUCCAAAGUUAACGUGCAAGUUUUGGUCCGUAGCGACCACCACCGUACCUCCAGGCGCUUGUUGCGUUGCAGCCGUGGAGCGCAGUGAAGGCCGCGCUAAAGUGUGGCUUUAAUUCACGUUGAAGAAGCCCGGUAAAAAACUGUGAUGCAUCAAAAUAAAAUGUUCCUCUUAUCUGUGAAAUAAGCACGUGACCCCGUUUCAACUCCACCCCUCAAAAGAAUCGGAUUUCAGAAUUGUUAAAAUCAAAACGAAUGCCCAACACUAUGAAUGAUACGAUAUUGAUUCAUAAAAACCUGAGUAGGGCUGGGGAUUGUUCAGAAAUACCCCAUACCGGUAUCCAAUACCGUGACUUUGAUACCGGUUCCUAAACGAUAAUUUUUCGAUACCAAUUUUUUAAAACGAAAAGAAACUACGACAAUACACAUUACGGCACACAUCUUUGUAUGUAUUUAUGUAUCAGCUCCUAUUACGUGAGCCCGUCUGAGUUUUUCCCGCGUGUCUCUACGACUUGUAACGUUAGACAGCCAAUCACAGACAUUAUCAGAUCUUGGAAGAAGCAUGCUGCGUGCUGAUUGGCUCCCUGAGAUAAACUUCAUAUGUAUUGAAAUGACGAGGCAUUUUUUUUUUUUUAUACUUAAAAUGUUGUAUUCAGUACUCAGUCCUAUUCCUAAAAGCAAUCUUUUAAGAGGCCAGACUGAAGAUAUCGGUAUCUAAUGAAACUAGACGAUUUAAGGAAUCCGUGUAAUGCCAAAUAACUGCUCCAAAGUUAGGCAAAGGUUUGGCGAGGGGAAAACUGGCACGGUCUUUUUCACAGAUGUGUAGCUUUAGGUCUCCGUCUUGGCAUCGCACCCUCUGCACUAAAAAAAGCACUUGCACAUGUUGUUUCUGUCUCCAUGUAACUGCUUUGGGGUCUUAACUUAACGACAACAUUCAUAUUUUUAAUAAUGCAGCAGGUUAGAGGGCUCCUAGUACAAUUUCCUGCGAUGCUAUGGUAACUGAAAUAUCCCUAAUCGAUAUAGGAUCCAAUCGAUAAAUAGAAUCUGAAAUUAAAUCGAAACAGGACCUUGUGAAUCGGAAUUGAAUCGGGAAGUCAGUGGCCAUACCCAGCCCUAAUUCUCAUAGUUGUAACACAUUAUAAUCACUCUUAUAAUGCAUUAUAAUGUGAUUAUAAGUUACUCUAAGUGGUCAUCGGGUGCUCUAAGUGAAGUAAUGACAUCACAAGCUGGAUAUAAGUCUCUAUAAGUGGAAAAAAUAAUCAUUGAAUCUAUCUAAGAACACUAAUUUAUUAGUUUAACGGGUCGUAACCGAAUACCCCAAUUUGACAGAACUUUGAUGAUUCAAUGAUUCAAGAUUAACUUAAUUGUCCCGCAAGGUGGGAGAUUUGUCUUGGGCACUUAACCUGUGCUGCUGCAGCCAUGACUGACAUUUCACUUUUACUCAUGUAACGUUAACCUCCAAAAAACUCACUCUUAACACUCGAUCGACUCAGACUCUGGAUAAAACAUGAGAAUUACGGUUUAAUACACAUAAUAAUAAUAAUAAUAAUAUUUGAGUCAGUGAGCGGCAAGUCUUCUUAUACUUUGACCUCAUAACGGAAUCUGUGGAUUUUAAACCAAACUCAUACCAAACUCCCACCUCCCCGUGCAGAAAAACAGUCCACAAAAAAACAACAUAGAUUUUCUUUCUGGAUCACCACUGAAAACUGAAAAGAAAAAAGCACCGCAGAUUCCGUUUCGGGUCUGCUCAUAAGUCGUUAUAAAGUGCUUUAUCGUCGGCGUAGAAAGUGUAACCAAAUGUACAAAAUAGCGGCCUUAAGAGUAAAAAAAAAACAAAAUGUUUUCAGUAAUUUUGGGUAUUUUUUUUCUUUGCCGAGUCGACUGUUAACAUCGAGAGGAACGCUUUUCUCGAAAAGCGGGAAAGCUUGUCGGAGUUGAAUGAUGUUGAGUGUUUAGUUUAUUUUUAAAAAAAAUUUUUUUUUAUUGUAAAUGAAUGCAUGAAUGGUCGGAAAGGGGCUCUGCCUUUGCUGAAAUCACGUCCAGCCUAUCGGGACUCAGGGUCAGUUUAAGUGUCACCGCAUCGAGAGAAGAAGUCCCGGUAACACUUUACUUGAAGGUAUCUACAUAAGAGUGACAUGACACUGUCGUGAACACAUGACAAUUAACUCUAACUUGUCAUGGCAAAAACCGAAUGACACUUCCUAGAAGAAGCGUUAUGUCAUAAACGUUUAUGACUUGUUUAUAAUGUUCAUGACAGUGUCAUGUCACUCUUAUGUAGAUACCUUUUAAGUAAAGUGUAACCGAUGUCCCUCCCCUUCCUGUGACCACCAUGGGACCUUUUUUUUUUGGAAGGAAAUUGGUCCGGUAUGGAACGAGGAGAGACUAAUAAUGUUUUGAUCCCGUUUGAAUUGAGCCAUGAAUUACACACACCAUGUUUGUCAGUUUCAAAGAUAAUUUUGCAAGUGAAGAAAGUCUGUUUGUCGUAGUACCACUUAGUUUUGUGUGAAACCGCUCGGUGAUCCACAUCUCUUGUCUCUCGCGCAAUAUACGUCACCUCGCUCGCUAGCCAGCUAGCUUAGCUCCACAAAACGUGAAACGUCCUCUUACCUGCUGUUUUAUCCAGCGUCUCUUUAUCAGCCGGGAAGAGAGAGAAGGUGUGAGUAACGUGACAUCCUGGUACCAAACACACAGACAUCGUAGCUUCGCAGAGAUACGUCACUCAGACAAUUUGGGCUGACGAGUCUUUCUAACGACGUAUUUUCACAGUCUGAUACUUCAACAGUUUGAGGACAAACUGAGACUCAAACGGGUUUCGUGCUUGCGGUGUUGCAUUGGUCGCCGUGAAACCAUCUAGUCGCUCACACUGAUUGCGUUCAGAGCGGCUUCAAGGAUAGACUUUCUUCUCUUCCGUAGCCAGUCAUUGCUACGUGGGCUGUGUGACUUUGUCCCGCGUUACAAAUAUCUUGGAGGUGAGCGGCUCAGUUUGCCCCAGACCGCUUUUUGAGUCAUAUCGCCGCCCAGACCGCGCUGAACGCAAGAAGCAUAUAACGCGUUUCAACUGACUUGCAAAAUGAUCUUUUGAACUGACAAACAUGUGUAAUUCAUGGCUCAAAUCAAACCGGAUCAACCAAUUAUUAGUCUCUCCCCAUUCACUACAGUUCAUAUUUUUUCCCCCCAAAAUAAAGUCCCAUGAAGUUCCACCGGAAGGGGAGGGACGCCUCCUCUCUUUACAAGCCUUCAUUCUCAAUAAUGUCUAAAAGAAAUGAAGAACGUGCUGAUCUCGGUCCUGAUGUUUCAUCCUUUAGUUGCCCGUUUCCCAGCUGGGGGAGCACAUUCAAAAAGUGCGUUCCUUUUAUACUCGGAAGUCGGAUUUUCCGAGGUCAAAGUCGGAAAAACACACCCUGAUCUCAGAUUUCCGAGCUCGGAAAAUCCGACAUGGCUUCUCCGUGCAUCCACAGUAAUGAAAGCUGUAGUUACAUACAGUUAUGAGCACUUCUGUUGUAUUUGUGUCUCAUUAAAUCAGUCGUACACACAGUGUUUCCCAACUUCUAUCUGUGGACAUGUUGCUACGCUGUUUGUAUGCACACAAAAAAUCUGCGUAAUGCGUUAUUAUCAACAAUGGCUAACUUGGAUUGAGCUAUAACCCACAAUGAAAAAUCUGACUUGUAAAUGGAAACACAUUCAGCUCUGGGUGACGUUAUUCCCGGCUCCGGCGUCCGACUUCCGAGCCAAAUGGAACGCACUAAGAGACCGAUGGUGGUGAAUGACCCUCUCUUCUCCUUCUCGCUAGCUGUUUUUUGUACGUAUGAACACACACACAUUGAUUAAUUUUCUCUCUGCAUCCAGGUGUCAGUAGCUAAAUUCACAUUUUGUUUUUUAACCCAGUUUUCUAUCCGUCUCUUUAGUUCAGCCUUAAGUUGUAUAAAGUUGUAUCCGUGUGCCUAUCAUUUAGAUUUCUCCAUCUUUCUCUUUGUUUUCCACCUGAAGUAGAUCUUGUGUGUGUGAUAGAGGUGUAAGAGUAAUUAUUAGCGUCAUUUUAAUAUUUAAAAGCAGUGUUUAUAGUUGAUUUGAUACUUUGCAUACCCCGGAUGUAUUUCAUGAUGACUGUAAAGCAGAAGAAUUUUGUAGAAUUGAUCAAAUUAUUAAACAUGAAUAUGGAUGUCUUCCCUCAGUGGAAGUUGUCUUAUGACGUGUU